rnacentral:tRNA from 1 species
GCCGGGGUGGCUGAAUUGGACAAAGCGCAGGCCUUGAGAGCCUGUGGCGCAUUGCGCCGUGCAGGUUCGAGUCCUGCCCCCGGCG